CAAAACAUAGCUUAACUUAAAGCCCCUUGCUUACACCAAGGAAAUGUCUUCUAACCGAGACUGUUUUGAAG
rnacentral:tRNA from 1 species